GGAUGAAGCUGGGACUUACCAUGCACACCAGUUUGUUCUCCUGGGUCUCCUUCUCAAAGGAGACCUCUGCCACCUCAUCGCCUCCUGCGAUCCUCUCCCCAACAUCACCACUGAGUCGCAUCACCUCCACGUGCAGCCGACCUGCCACCUGCAGCAAUGAGGGAAGGCAGAAACAUUUCUCCAGAUUUGGAAACAAGGCAUGAAGAGAAAACCAACCUCUCCUUUCUGGUUGAUGAUGGGAACAGCGUAUUGUAACUUCACAUCAUAGAAAAGUGACUCGAGGAAGACAUUGGCCACCCCAAUGAGACUGUGAUUUUCCUGCUCAUCAUAGAAUGGAUCAGCACGUUUGAAGUAUGAUCGUAUUACCUGUAAAGAGAUUGAGAACACACAACUUCAGAAAAACCAUUUACAAUAAAUGCAUUCAACCUACUGCUUUUUGAUGCACUCUAGGUUAUUAAACUUAACUUUCAUCAUCCUA
ensembl:lncRNA novel transcript, antisense to KIF13B